rnacentral:lncRNA from 1 species
GAGAAAAGGGGAAAACCGAACCGCGAGCUGAGAAAAGCGUGAAAACAGCGGAGAAAGAACAGCAGCAGCAGGAGGAGGAGGAGGAGGAGGAGGGCGCCUAACGGGACGAAGAGCAGGAGCAGAACUUCUGGAAAACUAUGGGCACAUAGCUGCUGUUAGCUUGGCUGCAUUUGUCACCCAGUUUGACAACUCAAAGAUUUCUGUUUCUGCGUUAAUCCUCCUCCUACAAACACAGGAAUAAAAUUACCGGAGGUCCCCCACAAAAGAAAAAAUGACACCAGGACCUUCUGAGAAAUGAAUCCCAUCUGGAUAGGGCUUUAGUGUGUUAGGCAGAAACAUCACCAUUGUUGGACUCUGUCCUGGACUGAAGGUUCCAGGGCCAAUGGAGGGAGAGAAGGAGAGAGAAAGAGAGAGAGGAGAAGAGAAAGAGAGUGAUGAGACAGAGGAGGAUGCUGAGGGAGCAGCCUUGGUGUGGCAGGAAGGCUACACAGAAGAUGACCUGGACUUACCCAUCAUGCACUGGGAAGCUCUGAGCUUGCGAAUCGCAGAACUCGAAAGACAAGAGGAAGAAAAAAGAGAGAGAAAUAAGGAUGUAGCUCGUUGGACAGAGCCAUGGCCGGAGUUACAUGAUCUUAGACACAGGGACGCCUGUGAAGAUGUUGAAGACAGUCGCCUGACUGCAUUAACAUCACGACUCCAGAGUCAUAUGAACCUACAGCUCUGCUUCAUCAACAACAGUGAGAGUGAGGGCGAGGAGGAGGAAGACGGCGCAAAAAAAGAGUGUGAGAAGAGUAGCAGUGGGCAGGUGCAGCAGCCCCUGCAGGGUUCCAGUUCUGCGACCCACAAGAAAACCAAAUCAGGCAGGUUCAAGAGAGAGGUCAGGGCUGCUCUCAGCACGCUCAGACACAAGCUGAGGUUGGAACAAAAACAGACUAUAGCCCCCAGUGAUGCAGUCAAACAGAGACCACACUACGAUUGCAGUGACUUACAGAAUUUCAGCUUAAAGGAGCUAAAAGCUUUGAAGACCACACUGAGUAAAGACAUUCACAACCUCAGCUCAGAAUUGGUGGGUCGUCUUCUGACAAGGGACCAGCUGAGGACUGAGCAGGAUGCCAUGUUACUGGAAAUACAGGACAUGAGGUCGCUGUGAUAUCACAGAGUGAGGAGGUCACUUUGUUCAAGGAACAAAAGGGAGGCUGCCACCAUAAAAACAUACAGACCUGGGAGAUCGGCCUGGAAGAAUGAGAUUGUACUGUGAAAAGCUUCACCACUCCAAAAAGACUGUUUA